AGAUUGAACGCUGGCGGCAUGCCUUACACAUGCAAGUCGAACGGCAGCACGGGAGCAAUCCCGGUGGCGAGUGGCGAACGGGUGAGUAAUACAUCGGAACGUGCCCAAUCGUGGGGGAUAACGCAGCGAAAGCUGUGCUAAUACCGCAUAAGAUCUACGGAUGAAAGCAGGGGAUCGCAAGACCUUGCGCGAAUGGAGCGGCCGAUGGCAGAUUAGGUAGUUGGUGAGGUAAAGGCUCACCAAGCCUUCGAUCUGUAGCUGGUCUGAGAGGACGACCAGCCACACUGGGACUGAGACACGGCCCAGACUCCUACGGGAGGCAGCAGUGGGGAAUUUUGGACAAUGGGCGAAAGCCUGAUCCAGCCAUGCCGCGUGCAGGAUGAAGGCCUUCGGUUGUAAACUGCUUUUGUACGGAACGAAGGUCUCUUUCUAAUAAGAGGAUCAUGACGGUACCGUAAGAAUAAGCACCGGACUAACUACGUACCACG
rnacentral:rRNA from 1 species